rnacentral:ncRNA from 1 species
UUGAAGGCUGGGUGAGAGACCCUAAAAAGGGCGCCGAAGGAGCAAGGGGAACUGAAACUCUCAGGCAAAUAGAAUCCAGCUGGACG